CCUACGGGAGGCUGCAGUGGGGAAUAUUGCACAAUGGGGGAAACCCUGAUGCAGCGACGCCGCGUGAGUGAAGAAGUAUUUCGGUAUGUAAAGCUCUAUCAGCAGGGAAGAAAAUGACGGUACCUGAUUAAGAAGCCACGGCUAACUACGUGCCAGCAGCCGCGGACAUACGUGGGGGGCAAGCGUUAUCCGGAUUUACUGGGUUGAAAGGGAGCGUAGACGGCAGCACAAGUCUGGAGUGAAAUGCCGGGGCUUAACCCCGGAACUGCUUUGGAAACUGGGCAGCUAGAGUGCAGGAGAGGUAAGUGGAAUGCCUGGUGUAGCGGUGAAAUGCGUAGAUAUUAGGAGGAACACCAGUGGCGAAGGCGGCUUACUGGACCGUAACUGACGUUGAGGCUCGAAAGCGUGGGGAGCAAACAGGAUUAGAUACCCUUGUAGUC
rnacentral:rRNA from 1 species